rnacentral:rRNA from 1 species
GGAUAGGGGUGAAAGGCUAAUCAAACUGAGAAAUAGCUCGUACUCCCCGAAAUGCAUUUAGGUGCAGCCUCGUGGUGAGUCUUGCAGAGGUAGAGCUACUGAUAGGGCUAGAGGGCUUCACCGCCUAUCAACCCCUGACAAACUCCGAAUGCUGCAAGAUAUACACGGGAGUGAGCCUGCGGGUGCUAAGGUCCGUGGACAAAAGGGAAAGAACCCAGACCAUCAGCUAAGGUCCCAAAAUAUAUGUUAAGUUGAAUUAACGAGGUGCGACUGCUUAGACAGCUAGGAUGUUGGCUUUGAAGCAGCCAUUCAUUUAAAGAGUGCGUAACAGCUCACUAGUCGAGCGGUUGUGCGUGGAUAAUAAUCGGGCAUAAGCAUAUUACCGAAGCUAUGGACUACUGACGUUACAGUCAGUAUUGGUAGGGGAGCAUUCCAGUCAGCGCAGAAGAUGUAUUGUAAAGUAUGUUGGAGCGGCUGGAAAAGAAGAUGUAGGCAUAAGUAACGAUAAGGCCGGUGAGAAACCGGCCCACCGAAAGACUAAGGUUUCCUGAUCAUCGCUAAUCGGAUCAGGGUUAGUCGGGUCCUAAGGGUAAGCCAAACGGCGAUCUCGAUGGACAACUGGUUAAUAUUCCAGUACCACCGUGUACUGCGAAGGGGAGACGGAGUAGUGAAAGAUCCGCGUACUGACGGAAUAGUACGUUAAAGGGUGUAGUUAUAUCACUAGGUUAAUAGCUAUGUGAUGAUGAACCUGACAGUACCGUGAGCCUUCGGGCAAGCGGAUAGUGAUCCUAAUCAGACUUCCAAGAAAAACCUCUAAGCUUCAGGUACAUGGUGCCCGUACCACAAACCGACACAGGUAGUCGAGGAGAGAAUCCUAAGGUGCUCGAGUGAUCCGUGGCUAAGGAACUAGGCAAAUUAGACCUGUAACUUCGGGAAAAAGGUCUCCCGCGCAAGCGGGACGCAGAUAAAUGGCCCAGGCGACUGUUUAGCAAAAACACAUGGCUUUGCGAAAUCGAAAGAUGAAGUAUAAGGCCUGACACCUGCCCGGUGCUGGAAGGUUAAGAGGGGGGGUUAUUGUCCUUCGGGAUGAGAAGCUCUGAAUUGAAGCCCCAGUAAACGGCGGCCGUAACUAUAACGGUCCUAAGGUAGCGAAAUUCCUUGUCGGGUAAGUUCCGACCUGCACGAAUGGUGUAACGAUCUGGGCACUGUCUCAGCCACGAGCUCGGUGAAAUUGUAGUCCCGGUGAAGAUGCCGGGUACCCGCAACGGGACGGAAAGACCCCGUGAACCUUUACUAUAGCUUAACAUUGAUUUUGGGUAAAUAAUGUGUAGGAUAGGUCGGAGACUACGAAGCGGUUUCGCCAGGAAUCGUGGAGUCAUCCUUGAAAUACGACCCUUUGUUUAUCUGGAACCUAACUCCGCUUAACGCGGAAGACAUUGUCUGGUGGGUAGUUUGACUGCGGUGGUCGCCUCCAAAAGAGUAACGGAGGCUUCUCAAGGUGCCCUCAGCACGAUUGGUAACCGUGCGC